rnacentral:rRNA from 1 species
AUUGAACGCUGGCAGCAUGCCUUACACAUGCAAGUCGAACGGCAGCGGGGGAGAAGCUUGCCUUUCCUGCCGGCGAGUGGCGAACGGGUGAGUAAUACAUCGGAACGUGCCCUGUAGUGGGGGAUAACUAGUCGAAAGAUUAGCUAAUACCGCAUACGACCUGAGGGUGAAAGUGGGGGACCGCAAGGCCUCAUGCUAUAGGAGCGGCCGAUGUCUGAUUAGCUAGUUGGUGGGGUAAAGGCCUACCAAGGCGACGAUCAGUAGCUGGUCUGAGAGGACGAUCAGCCACACUGGGACUGAGACACGGCCCAGACUCCUACGGGAGGCAGCAGUGGGGAAUUUUGGACAAUGGGCGAAAGCCUGAUCCAGCAAUGCCGCGUGUGUGAAGAAGGCCUUCGGGUUGUAAAGCACUUUUGUCCGGAAAGAAAUGGCUCUGGUUAAUACCUGGGGUCGAUGACGGUACCGGAAGAAUAAGGACCGGCUAACUACGUGCCAGCCACCGCCGUAA